CAUGUGACUGGAUCCUACUGAGACCCAGCGGUCCAGGGAAGUGAAAGCAUCUUGGAGCCAGAGGAAGGAUCUAGAGGGUCACCCACUUUACAAACCAGCAGACAGACAGAUGACUUCUCAAGAGGGCUGAAAUCCCCGAACCCAACCGAGUCAUUCUUCGGGAACCACAGCUUGCUCACUCGGAUUCCUCUGGUUCUACAGCCCAAAUUUUCUUUCGGUUUUGUCGGAUAGUCUUGGCUGACCCUACGGCUGGCCGGCCGGAGACUGGAGCUCCGCCUUCGGGGCAGGGGUGUGUGUGUCCCCCGACUGGGAGCUGGGCGCAAAGCGGGCUCCCCGGUACCGACCAGACGGUCGGUUCCGGACAGCGCGCGCCGGGGGACAGAAGGCGCCACCACCUCGCGCCCCCUCCCCUCCUGAGCUUGGCACGGAUCAGCGCCUUCGCAAAACAUCAGUCAGGGUGAAGAAGAGAAAGCUUUAGAGAAUUGGCUGGAUGUCGGCUAGGUGACCUCGUCCCAACAAGCUCCGCAGAAGCCGGAGAUGAGGCGGGGCUUUGGACCCUUGUCUCUUGCGUUCUUCCUUUUCUUGUUGGCGCUGCUGACCCUGCCAGGCGAUGGCAACCAGGGCAGUGUCGCUGGAAGUUGUUCUUGUGAUCGUACCAUUUCUUCUGGCACCCAGAUACCGCAGGGUACUUUGGAUCACAUCCGAAAAUACCUGAAAGCAUUUCAUCGUUGUCCAUUCUUUAUCAGGUUCCAGUUGCAGUCCAAAAGCGUGUGUGGGGGAAGCCAAGACCAGUGGGUCCGUGAACUAGUGGACUGCUUUGAGCGCAAAGAGUGUGGAACUGGUCAUGGGAAGAGUUUUCACCACCAAAAACAUUUGCCUCAAGCCAGUACCCAGACCCCUGAGGCCGCAGAGGGGACACCUUCGGACACGAGCACCCCUGCACAUAGUCAGAGCACUCAGCACUCCACUCUUCCAUCAGGAGCACUGUCCUUAAACAAAGAGCACACCCAACCCUGGGAGAUGACCACUCUCCCUUCAGGCUAUGGUCUGGAAGCUAGGCCUGAGGCUGAGGCAAAUGAGAAACAGCAAGAUGACAGACAGCAAGAAGCACCAGGAGCUGGAGCUAGCACACCAGCUUGGGUACCGGUGCUGUCCCUCCUGGCCAUUGUCUUCUUCCUCACUGCAGCCAUGGCCUAUGUGCUGUGCAACAGGAGAGCGACACAGCAGAACUCUGCAGGUUUGCAGCUCUGGUACACUCCUGUUGAACCAAGACCCUAGCGCCUACAGCAAGAGUGGAAGCUCAUGAGAGAUGGAUGAUGACAUGGGAGAGGUGGUAGGGCAGCAGGCUCGUCUCCAUCAGUGAAUGGAACCUGAGCUCACUGUUUCUCAUGCUGUCUUGAGACAAAGUAUCCAUAUGGAACCUAGGUUAGCUUUGACCUGCUGACCCUUUGCCUCUACCUCCUAGAUUCUGCGAUUAAAGACAUAUGCUACCACAUCUGCCCCCAUUGACAUUCAUAAAAAAGACAGGGUUUCACUAUUCAGCCCUGACAGUCCUAAAACUCAGAAGAUCUGCCUGCCUCUGCAGUGUUGGGAUUAAAGGACUGCUCUUGGGGAACACUCUUUACAACUAAUAAUAUAUGAAUAGCCCCUCUGCCCUUAGCCUUCCCCCACGUCUAAUAAAAUGUAACACUC